rnacentral:rRNA from 1 species
CGGUCUUAUUCUGAGGUAUGUCCGGUCAUUGGGUAUUAGCCAAUAACUUUUCUUCACAACUUAAAGUGCUUUACAACCCUAGGGCCUUCUUCACACACGCGGUAUGGCUGGAUCAGGCUUGCGCCCAUUGUCCAAUAUUCCCCACUGCUGCCUCCCGUAGGAGUCUGGGCCGUGUCUCAGUCCCAAUGUGGCGGAUCGUCCUCUCAGACCCGCUAAAGAUCGUUGCCUUGGUGAGCCUUUACCUCACCAACAAGCUAAUCUUACGCAGGCUCAUCUAGUAGCGAAAGCUUCAAUGAGAGGCCUUCUUUCUCCCGAAGGAGGUAUACGGUAUUAAUCCGAGUUUCCUCGGGCUAUCCCCUUCUACUAGGUAGAUUCCUACGCGUUACUCACCCGUCCGCCGCUCUACUCAUAUCCGAAGAUACUUUCUCGCACGACUUGCAUGUGUUAAGCCUACCGCCAGCGUUCAAUCUGAGCCAUGAUCAAACUCU